rnacentral:tRNA from 1 species
GGAGAAGUGGCAGAGUUGGUCUAUUGCACCUGACUUGAAAUCAGACGGUCGGAAACGGCCCGAAGGUUCGAAUCCCUCUUUCUCCUCCA